CCUCAAGUGAUGAUUAUUGGAGGUAGAGCACUGUUUGGACGAGGGGCCCCUCUCGGGUUACCGAAUUCAGACAAACUCCGAAUGCCAAUUAAUUUAACUUGGGAGUCAGAAGAUGGGUGAUAAGGUCCGUGUUCGAAAGGGAAACAGCCCAGACCACCAGCUAAGGUCCCAAAAUAUAUGUUAAGUGGAAAAGGAUGUGGCGUUGCCCAGACAACUAGGAUGU
rnacentral:rRNA from 1 species